CAUGAAUGUCCAUUUGAAGGAAGCAAGUACCUCGCAUUUUGCGCUCCAAUCAGGAGAAAUCAAACGACUGCGAGGAAUAAUAUACUACAAGAAAUGCAACAUAGAACCCAUAGAGCCCAAAGUGGAAAGGGUUGUCUCCUUUUGCUGGAGAAUUCCAAAUUUUGUGGAGAGCAGGAGACAACAAGCUUCAGAUGCCAUUGGAGACAAGCCCCUUACAAGUGGGCCAUUUAUAGAUGACAACUGCAGAUGGAGAGGACUGUACUCCGGACAACAAAAAUUGUUCCUGCAGCUGCUCUCAGCAUCCCAUCCAGUUACUGGGGAAAUUCAAAUUGUAAUGGCCCCUGGAAGUGACAAUGAGCA